AGUGAACGCUGGCGGUAGGCCUAACACAUGCAAGUCGAACGGCAGCACAGUAAGAGCUUGCUCUUACGGGUGGCGAGUGGCGGACGGGUGAGGAAUACAUCGGAAUCUACUUUUUCGUGGGGGAUAACGUAGGGAAACUUACGCUAAUACCGCAUCCGACCUACGGGUGAAAGCAGGGGAUCUUCGGACCUUGCGCGAUUGAAUGAGCCGAUGUCGGAUUAGCUAGUUGGCGGGGUAAAGGCCCACCAAGGCGACGAUCCGUAGCUGGUCUGAGAGGAUGAUCAGCCACACUGGAACUGAGACACGGUCCAGACUCCUACGGGAGGCAGCAGUGGGGAAUAUUGGACAAUGGGCGCAAGCCUGAUUCAGCCAUACCGCGUGGGUGAAGAAGGCCUUCGGGUUGUAAAGCCCUUUUGUUGGGAAAGAAAAGCAGCAGGUUAAUACCCCGCUGUUCUGACGGUACCCAAAGAAUAAGCACCGGCUAACUUCGUG
rnacentral:rRNA from 1 species